rnacentral:lncRNA from 1 species
AAAACAAUAAAUUUUGGCGUCAAACUGAAGACUAAUUAAGCAAAUUAACGUUGCAAACCGAGCGAUAAAACCAGUUUGAUUAUCGAAUAACUAAAUUAUUUUAGGCAAUACAUAAUUGCGCCAUGCAUGCAUGCAUGCAUUGCAUGAACGGUGGGGUCGAUCCCUUGUUCAAGGAGGAAGCUAUAGGAUAGAGAUCGAACACGCAGACUAACAUCAUUACAUGGACGCAGAUAUGAAGGCCACUAGUUGUGCUUCUCCUGGGUGUAGAUGUAGUCGGUGUGCGCCGCGAGCGUCCUCCUCGCCAUGCACUCAUCCCGCUGCUUCUCGCCGGCCCUCAUCUCGCACUCGUGGUCUUCCGCCGCCGCCGCCGCGACCUUCUGCAAGAAAGAAGAAACACACAACGGGGUCGGUUUGAAAAGAUCAGAAAUCGAUGGAGAUCGGCCGAGAGUCCUUGAAAACCUUUCACAUCGAUCCUGCGCGCGCGUGCGUACCUCGUUGGGAGAUGCCGUUGCCACGUCCUUGGGCGAGGUCCGGGCGGCCGUGGCGCCCGCGGGGCCGGAGGCGAGGAGGAGGAGGACGGCGAGCGCGGCCACGAGCACCAGUGUCGUUGCCCUCGCCAUGGAGGUCCGGUGACGGCUACUCUUGUUUUGGAACGGAUUGAUGAAUCGUGCAGUUUUU